rnacentral:rRNA from 1 species
AGCAUAUCAUAGCGGAGAAAAGAAAUCAACAGGGAUUACCUCAGUAACGGCGAGUGAAGCGGUAACAGCUCAAAUUUGAAAUCUGGCUCUUUUAGGGUCCGAGUUGUAAUUUGUAGACGAUGCUUUGGGUGUGGUGCCCGGUCUAAGUUUCCUUGGAACAGGACGUCAUAGAGGGUGAGAAUCCCGUAUGUGAUCGGUCGCCUUCGCCCGUGUAAAGCUCGUUCGACGAGUCGAGUUGUUUGGGAAUGCAGCUCAAAAUGGGUGGUAAAUUUCAUCUAAAGCUAAAUAUUGGCCAGAGACCGAUAGCGCACAAGUAGAGUGAUCGAAAGAUGAAAAGCACUUUGGAAAGAGAGUUAAACAGUACGUGAAAUUGUUGAAAGGGAAGCGCUUGCAACCAGACUUGGGCUGUCGCAAUCAUCCGGGGCUCGCCCCGGUGCACUUGUGGCGGUACAGGCCAGCAUCAGUUUCGGUGGUGGGAUAAAGGCCUUGGGAAUGUAGCUUCUUUCGGGGAGUGUUAUAGCCCUCGGUGCAAUGCCGCCUACCGGGACUGAGGACCGCGCUUCGGCGAGGAUGCUGGCGUAAUGGUUGUAAGCGACCCGUCUUGAAACACGGACCAAGGAGUCUAACAUCUAUGCGAGUGUUUGGGUGUCAAACCCAUACGCGUAAUGAAAGUGAACGGAGGUGAGAACCCAUUAGGGUGCAUCAUCGACCGAUCCUGAUGUCUUCGGAUGGAUUUGAGUAAGAGCAUAGCUGUUGGGACCCGAAAGAUGGUGAACUAUGCCUAAAUAGGGUGAAGCCAGAGGAAACUCUGGUGGAGGCUCGCAGCGGUUCUGACGUGCAAAUCGAUCGUCAAAUUUGGGUAUAGGGGCGAAAGACUAAUCGAACCAUCUAGUAGCUGGUCUGCC